UUUCCCUCAGGAUAGCUGGCACUCGCUUGAGCGAGUCUCAUCUGGUAAAGCGAAUGAUUAGAGGCCUUGGGGCCGAAACGACCUCAACCUAUUCUCAAACUUUAAAUGGGUGAGAUCUCUGGCUUGCUUGAACGUUGAAGCCACGAGAUUAUAUAUUGGAUCAGAGUGCCAAGUGGGCCAAUUUUGGUAAGCAGAACUGGCGCUGUGGGA
rnacentral:rRNA from 1 species